rnacentral:rRNA from 1 species
AUUGAACGCUGGCGGCAUGCUUUACACAUGCAAGUCGAACGGCAGCGCGGGCUUCGGCCUGGCUGCGAGUGGCGAACGGGUGAGUAAUGCAUCGGAACGUGCCCAGUAGUGGGGGAUAGCCCGGCGAAAGCCGGAUUAAUACCGCAUACGACCUGAUGGUGAAAGCGGGGGACCGAAAGGCCUCGCGCUAUUGGAGCGGCCGAUGUCGGAUUAGCUAGUUGGUGGGUUAAAGGCUUACCAAGGCGACGAUCCGUAGCUGGUCUGAGAGGACGACCAGCCACACUGGGACUGAGACACGGCCCAGACUCCUACGGGAGGCAGCAGUGGGGAAUUUUGGACAAUGGGGGGAACCCUGAUCCAGCCAUGCCGCGUGCGGGAAGAAGGCCUUCGGGUUGUAAACCGCUUUUGUUCGGGAAGAAAUCCUCUGGGCUAAUACCCCGGGGGGAUGACGGUACCGGAAGAAUAAGCACCGGCUAACUACGUG